UACGUAGGGCGCGAGCGUUGUCCGGAAUUAUUGGGCGUAAAGAGCUCGUAGGCGGCCUGUUGCGUCUGCUGUGAAAUCCCGGGGCUCAACCCCGGGCGUGCAGUGGAUACGGGCGGGCUAGAGGCAGGCAGGGGAGAACGGAAUUCCCGGUGUAGCGGUGAAAUGCGCAGAUAUCGGGAGGAACACCGGUGGCGAAGGCGGUUCUCUGGGCC
rnacentral:rRNA from 1 species